CGGACGCUCAACCAACUGAGCCACCCUGGCACCCAAAGUGGGGAGCAAGUUCAGUUCAGCGCGUGGAGUCAGCCAUCAGCUAAAACAUUUGUGCGCCUCCUUCUUCUAAGUCAGCUGCAUCCAAUAGAACUUUUGCAAUGAUGUUGAAAUUAACUCUGCAUUGUCCAGGACGAUCUCUGCCUGGCUCUUUCUGCUUCCUAGAGAAGUUUGCUUCUGCCCCGCUGCAGUCUCUACACUGACACAUGUCUUCCCAUCAGAAAAGAAGCCCUCAUUCCAAUAAACCAAGUCCAUUGUCCUUACUAAAAAUUUGUCACUGAUUCUAAGAGAGUUGCCUUUAUAUGGAUUUUUUGAAGAGUGAAAAUGUGAGAUUUCUUUUUUCCAAAGGGAAGCUCAGUUGCUUUGUUAGGAGACAUAGCCAACCAAUAAUGCUUUCAUGAAGGAAGGUUCUUAAGGCCAGGCCACUUGUCCUUCACAAUUAAGAAUGAUAUUUACCAUUUUAUUAGCAUUUUUAUAAAAACUACACAUUUUCCCAAGGAAACGUGUUUAAAAUAA